GGCAGGCCUGUGUUGGAGGGGAUCCCUGGGGGGACAGACACAAACAUAUGUCCCAAGAUGCCACCCGCUUCAUACAAGUUUCUGGCAGCACCGUCACACUGUUGGAGCCACCAACACCAGGGUCACCAACACAAACACCAGAAGAUGCUAAUCCAGGUGAAGGCACCAGUGCAGCAGCAGCAGAUGACGGCGACGAUGAUGGGGAGACCAUCUCUCUGGAUUCCAGAAGGCAUGAGGUAUCAUGACAAGCUUGUGGAAGUACUAUUCAGUCUACAAUGGUGAGAAGUCAUCAUUUGGUGCCAACGCAAAAUUUCAUUUCUGUAACGGGACCCAGAUGCUGUACAGGGAGAAAGCCAGCCUGGCAACAUAGUGAGUAUUAAUAGAAGGACAUUCCCAUUAUGCAAAAUUCACGCUGUGCUAAUUGUCAUGUGUUUACAGAACUCACAAGCUAUCAGAUAGCUGUAUGCCAACCAUCUAAGGUGGCAAAUACAACUGGCAGA